rnacentral:rRNA from 1 species
UACCCGCAGCACAAGUGUUGGUCAUUAUUAUUGGGCCUAAAGCGUCCGUAGCUGGCUUGUUAGAUGCCUGGGGAAAUCGAUGCGCUCAACGCAUCGAACUCCGGGUAGACCGGCAAGCUCGAGACCGGGAGAGGUGUAGGCUACUCGGGGGGUAGGGGUAAAAUCCUGUAAUCCUCCGGGGAGGACCAGUGGCGAAGGCGCUACACUAGAACGGCUCUGACAGUGAGGGACGAAGCCCUGGGGCGCAAACCGG